GACGAACGCUGGCGGCGUGCCUAAUACAUGCAAGUCGAACGCUGAAGGAGGAGCUUGCUUCUCUGGAUGAGUUGCGAACGGGUGAGUAACGCGUAGGUAACCUGCCUGGUAGCGGGGGAUAACUAUUGGAAACGAUAGCUAAUACCGCAUAAGAGUAGAUGUUGCAUGACAUUUGCUUAAAAGGUGCAAUUGCAUCACUACCAGAUGGACCUGCGUUGUAUUAGCUAGUUGGUGGGGUAACGGCUCACCAAGGCGACGAUACAUAGCCGACCUGAGAGGGUGAUCGGCCACACUGGGACUGAGACACGGCCCAGACUCCUACGGGAGGCAGCAGUAGGGAAUCUUCGGCAAUGGACGGAAGUCUGACCGAGCAACGCCGCGUGAGUGAAGAAGGUUUUCGGAUCGUAAAGCUCUGUUGUAAGAGAAGAACGAGUGUGAGAGUGGAAAGUUCACACUGUGACGGUAUCUUACCAGAAAGGGACGGCUAACUACGUG
rnacentral:rRNA from 1 species